rnacentral:lncRNA from 1 species
CCAUUUGAAAUUUUUCUGCACCAUACAAAAUUUAAUCCUCAGGCCCAUGUGGUCUGUGGGUGGGUCUUGUUCAGCCCCAACAAAUGAAAGAAGAUUAAUUAACAGAAGCAGCUGCAGCUGGGCCUGGAGGCAGUGGCUCUACAGCAGCAGUGAGAGCCGAGCUGUGGCAGACACAUGCUCUUCCCCUGACUCACGGCUGCCCAGUUCCCUCCAGCGAGGCUGCUGACCUAUUUUUCUAUUAGGAACAACCAGCCAAUGUGAUAAUGAGGAAAAUGUAUUCUGGCCCCUAUGAAGUUUAGUGAAGCCCGAAUGAAGUGGAGGAGGCCACGGAGAUGCACGAGGAAGAGCAUUCCAGGCAGAGGGAACAGCGAGGACAAAAGCCCCCGGGCAGGAAUGGGUGUGCAAGCCUGAGAUCCAACAUGGCGGAGAGCAAGCCGGAAGUGCUGCGCGGGGAUCCUAAGGGAGCACUGAACAGGACAAGCUCAGUUUUGUCCCUCAAACCUCCACAAUCAGCUAUUUUACAUAAGGAAAGUGGGUGGUGAUUAACCUCAGAGUCUCCAGGGACAGACUAUCCAGGACUGUGCCUGAAAUAGAAGAGGAAUUAACAUCAUACAGAACUGAAUACGGUGACUGAGGGGAGUUUGUGUCUCCCCUUUUAGGAAAGAAGAUGAGAAUAAGUAUGAAGGAGAGUCAUGUACUGUACAUUAAGCAAAAGCAUGAUGCUGUUAUUUGAAAUGUUAAUUAGAGGUGCCCACUAAAAACUGCUCAGCAAUUUUCUUGGAGACCUCAGUGCUCAUGUUAUUCUUUCCUCUAUCUUAUGUUUUCCUCUCUCCUGCCCUUUUCAGAAACAGUCUACAGCAGAAGCCAUUGACCCUGUUCAAAUUACAGAAGAGCCCUUUUUGAAUUUAUGAAAAUCCUGAAAUAUUAAAAUUUAUUAUUUUAAUAUUAAUAUAUUAAAUUAAUAUAUUAAUCUACCCGCCUCGGCCUCCCAAAGUGCUGGUAUUACGGGCAUGAGCCACCGAACCCAGCCUCAUGUUAUGACUUUCCAACCAUAAUUUAGUGUUAACAAAGUAAUCACAAAAGUAAUAUAUUAGUUUGAAAUUAGUAAUGCCCACCAGAUUCAAUCACUAAAAAAUGUGAUAUCAUUAAAAACCAUUUUUCUACAUGUUAACAAGAGCCAACUUCUGUCCCAAGCAGGUUGAAUUAUCACAAUUUCCUGAUAAGCAGAGUCCAGCUUCCUAAUUCAAACUCUCAAACUCAUUGUUAAAUAAGCCCAGAGGAGUUGGACAUUUUCCAUCACGCAUGUGGGAAGAAAGAAGGCCAACGAUGCUCUUCAGAUUUAACAAGUAAACCUUAAAAGUAUCUGUUAAGAAUACAGAGAUGCCCAUGACAACACUAUCACCAGAGCAACAACUAUCAACUAAGGUAACCAUGUAGAAAUAAUGUCCUUUUUGUAGGUCUUCUUUUCUUCCUUUUUCUUUUUCUUCUUUUCCUUUUUUUUUGGUGCAAGACAUGGCAACAAUUUCUAAAGUCUAUGUUUACAUUAUACUUGCAAGAAAAGGCUUAUUUUAAUCACAGCACAAGUGGGUAACUGUUACAGAUAUUCACAUGACUCUGCACUUCCCAUUUGACAGCAGAGGGCAGGAUUGUGGUGGCCGCUCUCAAGUUACCAUCAUCACAAAUCAGCUUAUUUAAAACAGUUUAUUAUGAUUAUAAAUAAUCUAAAAUAUUUUAUUUAAAAUAGAUUAUUUAGAAUAAAUUAUUUUAAAUACUUUGUGAUGUAGAACAUUCUCUCUGGCCGGGUGUGGUGGUUCAUGCCUAUAAUCCCAGCACUUUGGGAGGCCAAGAUGGGAGGAUUGCUUGAGCCCAGGAGUUUGAGACCAGCCUAAACAACAUAGCGAGACUCCGUCUCUACUAAAAAUACAUAAAUGAGCUGGGUGUAGUAGCUUGCAUCUGUAGCCCCAGCUACUCAGGAGGCUGAGGUGGGAGGAUCACUCAAGCCCAGGAGGUUGAGGCUGCAGGGCUGUGAUCGCACCACUGCAUUCCAGCCUGGGUGACAGAAUGAGACUGUCUCAAAAAAAAAAAAAAAAAAAAAAAAAGGGCUAGGCGUAGUGGCUCACAUCUGUAAUCCCAGCACUUUGGGAGGCCGAGGCAGGCGGAUCACUUGAGGUCAGGAGUUCAAGACCAGCCUGGCCAACAUGUGAAACCCCGUCUCUACCAAAAAAUACAAAAAUUAGCUGGGCGUGGUGGCACGUGCCUGUGAUCCCAGAUACUUGGGAGGCUGAGGUGGGAGGAUUGCUUAAACUAGAGGCGGAGGUUGCAAUGAGAUGAGAUCACACCACUGCACUCCAGCCUGGGUAACAGAGUGAGACUGUCUCAAAAAUAAAAUAAAUAAGUAACAUUUUUUUCUGACCUUCCCUGUUCUUUCUGAGACCCCCUUGUUAAAUUUUAAGACUUGCAGUUUUUGAGGCCUGGUUCUGAAGUGAACUACUCAGCAUUACUUGCAAAGGACAGACCUGCAAAGUGACGUUUUGCUGGCAGAAAUGGAGAAGGAGCUGAGUACAGAUUUCAUGUAAUAAAAGUGAAAUG